AGCUUGCUCCCGGAUGUUAGCGGCGGACGGGUGAGUAACACGUGGGUAACCUGCCUGUAAGACUGGGAUAACUCCGGGAAACCGGAGCUAAUACCGGAUAGUUCCUUGAACCGCAUGGUUCAAGGAUGAAAGACGGUUUCGGCUGUCACUUACAGAUGGACCCGCGGCGCAUUAGCUAGUUGGUGGGGUAAUGGCUCACCAAGGCGACGAUGCGUAGCCGACCUGAGAGGGUGAUCGGCCACACUGGGACUGAGACACGGCCCAGACUCCUACGGGAGGCAGCAGUAGGGAAUCUUCCGCAAUGGACGAAAGUCUGACGGAGCAACGCCGCGUGAGUGAUGAAGGUUUUCGGAUCGUAAAGCUCUGUUGUUAGGGAAGAACAAGUGCGAGAGUAACUGCUCGCACCUUGACGGUACCUAACCAGAAAGCCACGGCUAACUACGUGCCAGCAGCCGCGGUAAUACGUAGGUGGCAAGCGUUGUCCGGAAUUAUUGGGCGUAAAGGGCUCGCAGGCGGUUUCUUAAGUCUGAUGUGAAAGCCCCCGGCUCAACCGGGGAGGGUCAUUGGAAACUGGGAAACUUGAGUGCAG
rnacentral:rRNA from 2 species